rnacentral:rRNA from 1 species
GGGCCCGCACAAGCAGCGGAGCGUGUGGUUUAAUUCGAUGCAACGCGCAGAACCUUACCUGGGCUUGACAUGCGAUUGCACCGCGGGUCACGCCGCGUCCCCUUCGGGGGCGGUCGCACAGGUGCUGCAUGGCUGUCGUCAGCUCGUGCCGUGAGGUGUUGGGUUAAGUCCCCUAACGAGCGCAACCCCUGGGGUCCGUUACCUGGUCGUGUCGGGCCCGACUGCCGCGCGCAACGCGGAGGAAGGUGGGGAUGACGUCAAGUCAGCACGGCCCUGACGCUCAGGGCGACACACACGCUACAAUGGCCGGUACAACGGGUUGCCAAGCCGCGAGGCGGAGCCAAUCCCAGCAAAGCCGGUCUCAGUUCGGAUUGCAGGCUGCAACUCGCCUGCAUGAAGUCGGAGUUGCUAGUAACCGCGGGUCAGCACACCGCGGUGAAUACGUUCCCGGGCCUU